UGCGAGUAUGUGUCACCCAUGGUGAUGCAAGGAAUUGACGGAAAUAAGGGUACACCUAGGUGAUAGUUUUAAACUGUUUUCAAAUGUAUAAUUAUAUACAUGCAUUGAUUUCAGAAAUAAAGAAAAUAAGCUAGUUUGUAUAACUGUAUUUUUUACAGUGAGGUUUGUAUGUUCAUAUGCUAUUUUUCUAAACUUUGUUUUUGGGUCCACUCACCCUUUUUCAUGUUUUGCACCCCCAGGCAGUAGACGUGCACAGGAAUCCAGCACCGGGCCAUUUCCCAUUUUCCGCGCCUUUCUUUUGAUGUAGGAUUUUUGUUUUGUAAAAGGAUUGAUUCUUUGUAAAUUCUUAGUAGUUGCUCUGAUGUUUU
rnacentral:lncRNA from 1 species